rnacentral:rRNA from 1 species
AUUGAACGCUGGCGGUAGGCCUAACACAUGCAAGUCGAACGGCAGCACAGAGGAGCUUGCUCCUUGGGUGGCGAGUGGCGGACGGGUGAGGAAUACAUCGGAAUCUACUUUUUCGUGGGGGAUAACGUAGGGAAACUUACGCUAAUACCGCAUACGACCUACGGGUGAAAGCAGGGGAUCUUCGGACCUUGCGCGAUUGAAUGAGCCGAUGUCGGAUUAGCUAGUUGGCGGGGUAAAGGCCCACCAAGGCGACGAUCCGUAGCUGGUCUGAGAGGAUGAUCAGCCACACUGGAACUGAGACACGGUCCAGACUCCUACGGGAGGCAGCAGUGGGGAAUAUUGGGCAAUGGGCGCAAGCCUGAUCCAGCCAUACCGCGUGGGUGAAGAAGGCCUUCGGGUUGUAAAGCCCUUUUGUUGGGAAAGAAAUCCAGCCGGCUAAUACCUGGUUGGGAUGACGGUACCCAAAGAAUAAGCACCGGCUAACUUCGUGCCAGCCGCCGCCGUAA